rnacentral:rRNA from 1 species
UUGGAGGGCAAGUCUGGUGCCAGCAGCCGCGGUAAUUCCAGCUCCAAUAGCGUAUAUUAAAGUUGUUGCAGUUAAAAAGCUCGUAGUUGAAUUUCGGGGUUAGUAGGUUGGUCAUGCCUCUGGUAUGUACUGGUCUCACUGAUUCCUCCUUUGGAGGGCAAGUCUGGUGCCAGCAGCCGCGGUAAUUCCAGCUCCAAUAGCGUAUAUUAAAGUUGUUGCAGUUAAAAAGCUCGUAGUUGAAUUUCGGGGUUAGUAGGUUGGUCAUGCCUCUGGUAUGUACUGGUCUCACUGAUUCCUCCUUCCUGAUGAGCCGUAAUGCCAUUAAUUUGGUGUUGCGGGGAAUUUGGACUGUUACUUUGAAAAAAUUAGAGUGUUUAAAGCAAGCUAACGCUUGAAUACAUUAGCAUGGAAUAAUGAAAUAGGACGUUCGAUCCUAUUUUGUUGGUUUCUAGGAUUGACGUAAUGAUUAAUAGGGAUAGUUGGGGGCAUUAGUAUUCAAUUGUCAGAGGUGAAAUUCUUGGAUUUAUUGAAGACUAACUACUGCGAAAGCAUUUGCCAAGGAUGUUUUCAUUAAUCAAGAACGAAAGUUAGGGGAUCGAAGACGAUCAGAUACCGUCGUAGUCUUAACCAUAAACUAUGCCGACUAGGGAUCGGAUGAUGUUAAUUUUUUAAUGACUCAUUCGGCGCCUUACGGGAAAC